rnacentral:rRNA from 1 species
GAAUAUUGGACAAUGGGGGCAACCCUGAUCCAGCCAUGCCGCGGGUGUGAAGAAGGCCGUUUGGUUGUAAAGCACUUUAAGCAGUGAAGAAGACACCAUGGUUAAUACCCGUGGACGAUGACGAUAGCUGCAGAAUAAGCAGCGCACGACGCUGGGACAGCAACCGCUGUAAUACGGAGGGUGUAAGCGUUAAUCGGACUUACUGGGCGUAAAGCGAGCGUAGUUGGCUUGAUAAGUCAGAUGUGAAAUCCCCGGGCUUAACCUGGGAACUGCAUCUGAUACUGUUAGGCUAGAAUAGGUGAGAGGAAGGUAGAAUUCCAGGUGUAGCGGUGAAAUGCGUAGAGAUCUGGAGGAAUACCGAUGGCGAAGGCAGCCUUCUGGCAUCAUAUUGACACUGAGGUUCGAAAGCGUGGGUAGCAAAC